rnacentral:pre_miRNA from 1 species
GGUAUUUAAAAGGUGGAUAUUCCUUCUAUGUUUAUGUUGUUUGUGGUUAAACAUAGAGGAAAUUCCACGUUUUCAGUAUC